rnacentral:rRNA from 1 species
UUGACCUCGGAUCAGGUAGGACUACCCGCUGAACUUAAGCAUAUCAAUAAGCGGAGGAAAAGAAACCAACAGGGAUUGCCCCAGUAACGGCGAGUGAAGCGGCAACAGCUCAGAUUUGGAAUCUGGCCCCCAGGGCCCGAGUUGUAAUCUGGAGAGGAUGCUUCUGGCGCGGCGCCUUCCGAGUUCCCUGGAACGGGACGCCGGAGAGGGUGAGAGCCCCGUACGGUUGGACGCCUAGCCUUUGUGAAGCUCCUUCGACGAGUCGAGUAGUUUGGGAAUGCUGCUCAAAAUGGGAGGUAAAUUUCUUCUAAAGCUAAAUACCGGCCAGAGACCGAUAGCGCACAAGUAGAGUGAUCGAAAGAUGAAAAGCACUUUGAAAAGAGGGUCAAACAGUACGUGAAAUUGUUGAAAGGGAAGCGCCCGUGGCCAGACUUGUGCCCCGCGGACCACCCGGCGCCCUCAGCGCCGGUGCACUCCGCGGGGCGCAGGCCAGCAUCGGUUUUCCUAGGGGGAUAAAGGCGGCGGGAACGUGGCUCCUUCGGGAGUGUUAUAGCCCGUCGUGCCAUGCCCCUGGGGGGACCGAGGACCGCGCUUCGGCAAGG